UUUUUAAACGAUAAUAGUUUUUAUCACCUUAAACAGCUGAACAAAUGUUUUCUCCUAAUGCCUCCAUCGCUUUAACAUUAUCAUUGCCUUAGCUAAAUCUAGACUUUACCACCUUUCUAAAUCCGACUUUGUUAUGCCUUAGAUCAUCAUUCAAUUGACGUAAUUCAAUUGCCAUUAUGGUUCCUUAAACCAAUCAUCCCACUAUGAAAAAGAGAAAAAUACAAUAAGUGAUUAUAAAUGAUAAAUGUAGGAUAAAUGUCACCCACAUUAAACUAUGAGAAUUGUUUGUAUAAAACAAAAAAAAUCAUCACUAUGAAAUUAAAAUAGCUAAAAUAAACAUCGUGAGGCCAAAAUGUUUAAACGUAAUUUUUAAAAAAAUUUGAAAAAAAUACCCCACGCAAAACAAUGACAAACUCCUAAACGCAAAAUAUAAUUUACUCAACGGACUAUGGAUUCCAAACUUAAACGACCAACAACACAAAAUCUUUGAAAGCCCACAGAGUUUUUGAAAUAUAUUAGCCGAACACUUCUUCUCCAGUCAAAAUUGUUCAUACAAAUCAAAUUUACCAGUAUUAUAUACUAUAAAUCAGUUUCAGAAGCAUACAAACUCACUCA
rnacentral:lncRNA from 1 species